AGGACUAACGCUGGCGGCGUGCCUAACACAUGCAAGUCGAACGGGGUAGCAAUACCCAGUGGCAGACGGGUGAGUAACACGUGGUCAACCUACCUCUGUGUGGGGGAUAACUAGCCGAAAGGUUAGCUAAUACCGCAUACGAUCGUUUUGAGGCAUCUCGAGACGAUGAAAGGAGCAAUCCGCACGGAGAGGGGACUGCGUCCCAUUAGUUAGUUGGUGGGGUAACGGCCUACCAAGACUCCGAUGGGUAGCUGGCUUGAGAGAGCGACCAGCCGCACUGGAACUGAGAAACGGUCCAGACUCCUACGGGAGGCAGCAGUGAGGAAUUUUCCGCAAUGGGCGAAAGCCUGACGGAGCGACGCCGCGUGUGGGGUGAAGGCCUUCGGGUCGUAAACCACUGUCGAAGGGGACGAUAAUGACGGUACCCUUGGAGGAAGCCCCGGCUAACUACGCGCCAGCAGCCGC
rnacentral:rRNA from 1 species